AUAUAUAUCGUUUUUAAAUAAUUCGAUUGGAAAUAUCUUCUAAUUAAUAAUCGUUAAUCGAUUUUCGAUUAUCAAAUCGAUAAAUAUUCUCUGGGGAAACGGCUCGGUUGGCAACAUCUGCAGAAAAUCGUAUCUCAUAAAACAAGCUGUAUAGGUGUUAAUCAGAGGAGCCUUUCAUUUCGUCACACAUAUGCAAUAAAACAUUAAAGUUUAUUUCCACAUUUCUGCCCGAACUUUACAGAUCGUAACAGGUGCACACGAUUUGAACUAACACUAAAUCAUUGCGGCUUAUAUAUAUAUAUAUAUAAUGUUCGAAUUACACAUGGCACAGAAUAAAUCUAUUAACAAGUAUAAACUUCUUUUCGGACUAGAACGGUGCGGUGUUGCUUAUGAAGUUAGUAGUCUUCUAGAGAUUGGAGAUAAUGAGCAACUCUUGCAGGGAUUUUGGGGGUUAAGCGGGACCAGUAAUGCAGACGGAGCUACUAAGUAGGAUCAGCAAUACCCUACAGAGAGAUAAGGGCUGUCAGCUGUUCUGGUAUACAUCAACGUAUCCACCUAGAGAGAUGAAGUGUUAAGUUAUACACAUCCGAAGAGACGAAAGAGUUCUGAAAGACCAGAAAGAUUAGAAGAGUGGCACGGUGUGUGUACAGUGAAAUUUCUCAUAUUGUAUUGGAUUGACUCCCCAGAGAUGCCGGACAUAAAUUAACGAUGCAGCAAACGUUGCAUAGCCGUUAUUAAUUUAACUGACAGACGAAUGAAUGAUGAAAAGAGAAACAGAGCUUAACCCACACGCGCUAUUUACACAAACAUAGCUACUGUCUUGCCAGUAAUAAUUAGGUAUUGCCGAAGGGACACGUUAGACUGCUGUCUCUCUCUCGUCUGUCAAGACCUCCACGAUUUUCUGCGAACUAUCUAAUAAGGCCUUUUUGGCGGAGAGUGAGAUUGUCCCGGUUUAGUUCAUGGUGUGUAUCAAUGUCAGCUGCUCUGGUAUACAUCAAUGUCUGCUACCCAACACACACACACACACACACAUUCACAUCUGGCUACCAUCUUUGCUUAACGAAUAGAGAGAACCGUCUGCUAAAAGUGGUUUUAUCUUUCUUGUCAUCUUUUCUCCUAAUCUUGAAAAUUUUACCUCUUUUUAUGUUUUUUGUAAGCUAUAAUAUUAAUUAUUAUUACUUUUUACUACCGAAAAAGUUGUGUUUUAU
rnacentral:lncRNA from 1 species